rnacentral:misc_RNA from 1 species
GAUGAAGAACGUAGCGAAAUGCGAUAAGUAAUGUGAAUUGCAGAAUUCAGUGAAUCAUCGAAUCUUUGAACGCACCUUGCGCCCUUUGGCUAUUCCGAAGGGCAUGCCUGUUUGAGUAUCGUGAACACCUCAACUCUCAUGGUUUGCCAUGAUGAGCUUGGACUUUGGGGGUUUUGCUGGCCUUUGGUCGGCUCCUCUCAAACGGAUCAGCUUUCCAGUGUUUGGUGGCGUCACGGGUGUGAUAACUAUCUACGCCUGUGGUUUUCUGCCAGAUAACCUUCAGCGAUGGAGGUUCGCUGUGGCUCAUAAAUGUCUCUCUUCAGUGGAGACAGCUUUUUGGACGUUUGAUCUCAAAUCAGGUAGUACUACCCGCUGAACUUAAGCAUAUCAAUAAGCGGAGGA